AACGAACGCUGGCGGCAUGCCUAACACAUGCAAGUCGAACGAGACCUUCGGGUCUAGUGGCGCACGGGUGCGUAACGCGUGGGAACCUGCCCUUAGGUUCGGAAUAACUCCCCGAAAGGGGUGCUAAUACCGGAUAAUGUCUUCGGACCAAAGAUUUAUCGCCUUUGGAUGGGCCCGCGUUGGAUUAGCUAGUUGGUAGGGUAAAAGCCUACCAAGGCGACGAUCCAUAGCUGGUCUGAGAGGAUGAUCAGCCAAACUGGGACUGAGACACGGCCCAGACUCCUACGGGAGGCAGCAGUGGGGAAUAUUGGACAAUGGGCGAAAGCCUGAUCCAGCAAUGCCGCGUGAGUGAUGAAGGCCUUAGGGUUGUAAAGCUCUUUUACCCGGGAUGAUAAUGACAGUACCGGGAGAAUAAGCUCCGGCUAACUCCGUG
rnacentral:rRNA from 1 species